AACGCACAUUGCGCCCGCUAGUAUUCUGGCGGGCAUGCCUGUCUGAGCGUCAUUUCAACCCUCAUUCCCGGCUUCGUGUCGGGGAUGGUGUUGGGGAUCGGCCUCCCGGUUGCGGGCGGCCGGCCCCGAAAUAGAGUGGCGACCACGCCGUAGCCUCCUCUGCGUAGUAGUGAAAACCUCGCAUGUGGAGAGCGGUGCGGCCUGCCGUAAAACCCCCAACUCUUCUAAGGUUGACCUCAGAUCAGGUAGGAAUACCCGCUGAACUUAA
rnacentral:misc_RNA from 2 species